UAGGGAAUCUUCCGCAAUGGGCGAAAGCCUGACGGAGCAACGCCGCGUGAGUGAUGAAGGUCUUCGGAUCGUAAAACUCUGUUAUUAGGGAAGAACAAAUGUGUAAGUAACUAUGCACGUCUUGACGGUACCUAAUCAGAAAGCCACGGCUAACUACGUGCCAGCAGCCGCGGUAAUACGUAGGUGGCAAGCGUUAUCCGGAAUUAUUGGGCGUAGAGCGCGCGUAGGCGGUUUUUUAAGUCUGAUGUGAAAGCCCACGGCUCAACCGUGGAGGGUCAUUGGAAACUGGAAAACUUGAGUGCAGAAGAGGAAAGUGGAAUUCCAUGUGUAGCGGUGAAAUGCGCAGAGAUAUGGAGGAACACCAGUGGCGAAGGCGACUUUCUGGUCUGUAACUGACGCUGAUGUGCGAAAGCGUGGGGAUAAAACAGG
rnacentral:rRNA from 1 species